GACGAACGCUGGCGGCGUGCUUAACACAUGCAAGUCGAACGGAAAGGCCCUGCUUUUGUGGGGUGCUCGAGUGGCGAACGGGUGAGUAACACGUGAGUAACCUGCCCUUGACUUUGGGAUAACUUCAGGAAACUGGGGCUAAUACCGGAUAGUAGCUCCUGCUGCAUUGUGGGGGUUGGAAAGUUUCGGCGGUUGGGGAUGGACUCGCGGCUUAUCAGCGUGUUGGUGGGGUAGUGGCUUACCAAGGCUUUGACGGGUAGCCGGCCUGAGAGGGUGACCGGACACAUUGGGACUGAGAUACGGGCCAGACUCCUACGGGAGGAAGCAGUGGGGAAUAUUGCACAAUGGGAGGAAGCCUGAUGCAGCAACGCCGCGUGCGGGAUGACGGCCUUCGGGUUGUAAACCGCUUUCGCCUGUGACGAAGCGUGAGUGACGGUAAUGGGUAAAGAAGCACCGGCUAACUACGUG
rnacentral:rRNA from 1 species